rnacentral:rRNA from 1 species
UGGGGAAUUUUCCGCAAUGGGCGAAAGCCUGACGGAGCAAUACCGCGUGAGGGACGACGGCCUAUGGGUUGUAAACCUCUUUUUUCAGGGAGGAAUAAAUGACGUGUACCUGAAGAAUAAGCAUCGGCUAACUCCGUGCCAGCAGCCGCGGUAAGACGGGGGAUGCAAGUGUUAUCCGGAAUCACUGGGCGUAAAGCGUCUGUAGGUGGUUUAAUAAGUCAACUGUUAAAUCUUGAGGCUCAACCUCAAAAUCGCAGUCGAAACUAUUAGACUAGAGUAUAGUAGGGGUAAAGGGAAUUUCCAGUGUAGCGGUGAAAUGCGUAGAUAUUGGAAAGAACACCGAUGGCGAAAGCACUUUACUGGGCUAUUACUAACACUGAGAGACGAAAGCUAAGGUAGCAAAUGGGAUUAGAUACCCCCGUAGUCC